AAGAUCAUAAGGAACCAGAGCGACAUAUUUUCUUUACAAGACGCCCCCACCACUUUACAAACAUCAAUAUUUUCCGUCAACGGUUCACCGUCGAGAAGAGUUUUCAGAAAGCAGGAACCUGCAGGGCACGUAUUCCAAAGAAGUGAAGAUAGCGAUGUAAAAUCGGCAUUAAAGAGCAGAAUAACCAGGGAAAAUUACAACGAUGAAAAAAGACCCUCAAGCUCUUACAGAAACCCAUUAACUGGUACCGGACUGUCUUCCAACGACGAAUACAAGAGUAAGGGACUCAAACGAAAAGAUGGAAAUCCUCUGUUAGGUCUCGGAUAUGACGCCGAACUGCCAACGAUCAACUCGCAGCACAGAAUACCACCUGGUGGACACUCACA